rnacentral:tRNA from 1 species
GAGAUAUUAGUAAAUAUAUUACACUACUUUGUCAGGGCAGAAUAACAAAAUAAAACUUGUAUAUCUCU